GUCGUGCACCCUGGCGGCAAGGGUUUAGUAACUGUGGGCGCGCUGGGUUAUCUCAACUUCCAUCAGGCCUCAGCUGAAAGCUCAUCUGCCAAAACACAUCAGCACUCUUGUAAAAUAAAAGGAGUAGGGAGGUGACUUUGUAUACAUACUGUCCAGUGUUUGGCUUCCAGUUUUCCUCUUGUGUGUAACUAUUCUAGCACUUUAGGUUUUCUGAAGCGUUCCUUUAGGACUUAAAGGACAUCAUUGAAAUGUUGCUUUCCAUAGUCGGCAGGAUCCAUUUGAAGCUCUCGUUCUUCAUCAUCUGUGCCCUAUCCUGCCACUAUCAUCUAGAGAAUGCCAGAAUGAGACAAGAAAUGGUAAAUGGCAACACUCAGUUCCAUUUAGAGCCAUGCUGCGGAUCAACAGGGGAUUCAUUCUCAUCAAAGAAUCGGCCUGUGAAGUAGGUAGAGGAUUAAUUCAAGAGUAAAGAGAGAAGAAAAGAAGGAAUCUAUACUGAAGGCAGACCAGAAAGUAGACAAGUGAAACCUGGCAACUUUUGGGGUACUGGAUAUAAAAGGAUACAUUUUGUGAAGGUUAUCCAAGACAAAAGUAUGUAAGAGCGAAGACUCUGAAAAUACAUAACUUCUCUUUAAAAAAGAAUUUCUCUUUUGUGUUAAUUUUAGUGCUUGCCACUGAAGAUUUGAAUGAUUUCUUAAAGAAAUGGGCAUCAUUUUUAGGAAUGUUUUCAUAAUAACCAAUGACUUCUGCAAUAUAAGUGUGUCUAAAUUAACAUUUUAGGAGAAUACAUUAUUUUAUUACUAGAUGAGAUACAUAUUUAAAAUUUGAAAAUCUAGGCCUGGUGCAGUGGCCCACGCUUGUAAUCCCAGAACUUUGGGAGGCUGAGGUGGGUGGAUCGCUUGAGCUCAAGAGUUUGACACCAGCCUGGGCAACAUGGCAAAACCUUUCUCUACAAAAAAUACAAAACUUA